GAAAUAUAUUGUUUAUACUAAAGCUGCUAACUUUAAGUAAUAGCGGUUCAACUCCGUUAAUGUUUCU
rnacentral:tRNA from 1 species